UACGUAGGUGGCGAGCGUUGUCCGGAUUUACUGGGCGUAAAGGGAGCGUAGGCGGACUUUUAAGUGAGAUGUGAAAUACUCGGGCUCAACUUGAGUGCUGCAUUUCAAACUGGAAGUCUAGAGUGCAGGAGAGGAGAAUGGAAUUCCUAGUGUAGCGGUGAAAUGCGUAGAGAUUAGGAAGAACACCAGUGGCGAAGGCGAUUCUCUGGACUGUAACUGACGCUGAGGCUCGAAAGCGUGGGGAGCAAACAGG
rnacentral:rRNA from 1 species